UACGAAGGGAGCUAGCGUUGUUCGGAAUCACUGGGCGUAAAGCGCACGUAGGCGGAUGUGUCAGUCAGGGGUGAAAUCCCGGAGCUCAACUUCGGAACUGCCUUUGAUACAGCACAUCUGGAGUCCGGAAGAGGUGGGUGGAAUUCCUAGUGUAGAGGUGAAAUUCGUAGAUAUUCGGAGGAACACCAGUGGCGAAGGCGGCUCGCUGGUCCAUUACUGACGCUGAGGUGCGAAAGCGUGGGGAGCAAACAGG
rnacentral:rRNA from 1 species